rnacentral:rRNA from 1 species
UUUCCGUAGGUGAACCUGCGGAAGGAUCAUUGUCGAAACUUGCAAUAGCAGAAUGACUUGAGAACUUGUACAAAAGACAAGAGUGCCGGGUCCGUUUUUAUUGGUCCGGCCUCGAUGAACAACAACCCCGGCGCAGUGGCGCCAAGGAAUUUCGUGAUUGGACUGCCCGCUCGCAAGGCUUGUUUCUAGUUCUUGUGGCCGGCGUCUGUUUUAAAAAAGACUCUUGGCAAUGGAUAUCUCGGCUCUUGCAUCGAUGAAGAACGUAGCGAAAUGCGAUACUUGGUGUGAAUUGCAGAAUCCCGUGAACCAUCGAAUCUUUGAACGCAAGUCGCGCCUGCGGCCAAUUAGGCCAAGGGCACGUCUGCUUGGGUGUCAUGCAUUUUGUCGUCCCCCUCAUGUUUUCCGAGCGGGAGUGGACCGUGGCCUCCCGGGCCCAUCCCUGGGCGUGGUUGGCCGAAAUUCUUGUCCUUUAUAAUUGAACGAUGUAUUGGCGUGUGGUGGAUGUGCUGCGUGUGCAUUGAGCCGCGCCUUUCACAGCUUGAUUGUGGCGUUAGACCCUCCGAAGCCGGCAGCGCCGGCUCUCUGAUUGUGACCCCA